AAAUUGAAGAGUUUGAUCAUGGCUCAGAUUGAAUGCUGGCGGCAGGCCUAACACAUGCAAGUCGAACGGUAACAGGAAACAGCUUGCUGUUUCGCUGACGAGUGGCGGACGGGUGAGUAAUGUCUGGGAAACUGCCUGAUGGAGGGGGAUAACUACUGGAAACGGUAGCUAAUACCGCAUAACGUCGCAAGACCAAAGAGGGGGGCCUUCGGGCCUCUUGCCAUCGGAUGUGCCCAGAUGGGAUUAGCUAGUAGGUGGGGUAACGGCUCACCUAGGCGACGAUCCCUAGCUGGUCUGAGAGGAUGACCAGCCACACUGGAACUGAGACACGGUCCAGACUCCUACGGGAGGCAGCAGUGGGGAAUAUUGCACAAUGGGCGCAAGCCUGAUGCAGCCAUGCCGCGUGUAUGAAGAAGGCCUUCGGGUUGUAAAGUACUUUCAGCGGGGAGGAAGGGAGUAAAGUUAAUACCUUUGCUCAUUGACGUUACCCGCAGAAGAAGCACCGGCUAACUCCGUGCCAGCAG
rnacentral:rRNA from 1 species